rnacentral:rRNA from 1 species
CAAGUCGAACGGCAGCAUGAUCUAGCUUGCUAGAUUGAUGGCGAGUGGCGAACGGGUGAGUAAUACAUCGGAACGUGCCCUGUAGUGGGGGAUAACUAGUCGAAAGAUUAGCUAAUACCGCAUACGACCUGAGGGUGAAAGUGGGGGACCGCAAGGCCUCAUGCUAUAGGAGCGGCCGAUGUCUGAUUAGCUAGUUGGUGGGGUAAAGGCCCACCAAGGCGACGAUCAGUAGCUGGUCUGAGAGGACGAUCAGCCACACUGGGACUGAGACACGGCCCAGACUCCUACGGGAGGCAGCAGUGGGGAAUUUUGGACAAUGGGGGCAACCCUGAUCCAGCAAUGCCGCGUGUGUGAAGAAGGCCUUCGGGUUGUAAAGCACUUUUGUCCGGAAAGAAAUCGCACUUACUAAUAUUAGGUGUGGAUGACGGUACCGGAAGAAUAAGGACCGGCUAACUACGUGCCAGCAGCCGCGGUAAUACGUAGGGUCCAAGCGUUAAUCGGAAUUACUGGGCGUAAAGCGUGCGCAGGCGGUUGUGCAAGACCGAUGUGAAAUCCCCGGGCUUAACCUGGGAAUUGCAUUGGUGACUGCACGGCUAGAGUGUGUCAGAGGGGGGUAGAAUUCCACGUGUAGCAGUGAAAUGCGUAGAGAUGUGGAGGAAUACCGAUGGCGAAGGCAGCCCCCUGGGAUAACACUGACGCUCAUGCACGAAAGCGUGGGGAGCAAACAGGAUUAGAUACCCUGGUAGUCCACGCCCUAAACGAUGUCAACUAGUUGUUGGGGAUUCAUUUCCUUAGUAACGUAGCUAACGCGUGAAGUUGACCGCCUGGGGAGUACGGUCGCAAGAUUAAAACUCAAAGGAAUUGACGGGGACCCGCACAAGCGGUGGAUGAUGUGGAUUAAUUCGAUGCAACGCGAAAAACCUUACCUACCCUUGACAUGCCACUAACGAAGCAGAGAUGCAUUAGGUGCUCGAAAGAGAAAGUGGACACAGGUGCUGCAUGGCUGUCGUCAGCUCGUGUC